rnacentral:tRNA from 1 species
AUAGCGUAUGGCGGUUGUGUAGUUUAAUUGGCAAAACAUAG